AAUGAGCUAUAUAAGAAAUAUUAAAUUAGUUUUCAAAGUAUGGAGUGUCAGUAUUAUUUUUAAAAUUACAAAGGAUGUGAAAGUAAUUAUCAGAAGUCUCAGGGAGAUCAGUCAAAUUUAGCCUUUUCUUUACUCAAAGUUAAAAAGGUCAUUUUUUCAGAUAAUGGAAGUAAUUUAUUUUCUGUUUAAAUUUGUUAAGGAUAUUUGACUUUUUCACUGAAUUAUUUUAGUUUCCAUAUUAGAAAUGUGUUUCCUUCAUUUUAUUUUUUUUUACAAUUAGGCCAAUUUUAUUAUUUUAUCUAAUCAUUAUUACACGUAUCGUGUGCUCAAAAUGACUGAAUAAUAGUUUCUUUGUUGUCACUCAUUCGGUUAUUUAUUUAAGGAAUUUUUAAGAUUUUUUUAUAAUUUUUUGGGUUUAUAAUCGUAUUGUUAAUUAAUUAAGCUUCAUUGUUUAAUUAGAUAGUUAAAGAAUUGAAUUGAUUGAGUUAAUACUUUAAAAAUAAAAUUGACAAAAUAUGUACAGUUUAGAAAAUAUUUUAUUUUCGAGUUAUAUUUUUUUUGAAUAAUUACAGUAGGGUCUCUGAUAUAGAACUUUAACUCGUUUAAAUUCUGAUGGCUUGCUUUCCUUCAAAAAACUCCUCAUUUUAUGUUUAUUGUGUGUAACUAGUAUGAUGAUAAAUUUAUCAUUUCACAAAGAAAAAAAUAAUAUAAAAACAUAAAAUAAAAUUUAUAAUAUAUAAAAGAAUGAUAGAAUGUGCAUGGUGAUGUGUUUAAUUGAAAAACGACAUAAGAAAUUAUAUAUUCAUAACACCUUAUAUUUUUAGUUAAAAAACUGAGUGAGAAUUUUAUCAUUUAAAAGAUAAAUGAAUUGUAUAAUGGGAAAUUAAUUGACUUUAUUUUUAAAGAUAAAAUACGAAAAUUACACAAUUUUUUUUUUUUUUUUAAAAAAGGUUUUUGAAUCAGAAUAUUUGAUAAAUAAAUAUUUGGAUUUUCAGUCAUAACUUACGCUUUCGACCAUGCUAUAUUAUUUUUUGUGAUUUGUGAUUUAGAUAUCAUUUUUUAAUUUGAUAAAUUUUAUUUGAGAAUAAGUUCAACACAUGAAAGCUGGACUUAGAAGUUCUAUUUUUUUACAAUAAUGCUAUAAAUAAUAAAAAAAUAUUAAAAAUUUACUAAAUAGAUAUAUGAUUCAACCAUAUGUAUUGUAGAUGAAAUAAAAAAAUACAUUAUUAGGUCUUAAUACAUGUGACAGUGUCAAGGGUCGAUUUAGCAUUUUUUUUUAGCAUUUAUAAUAUUUUUCUUAUGUUGUUAAUGGUAUUCGGUGGGAAUGGAGAAAAUGGGACCAUGACACCCUGUUUGGCGUCCGGAGAUGGACCGCGGAUUUGCCAUUUCCCGAAAUUUUUCUCACCCUUCCCAUCUCCCGGGUUUGGCGCCCCCAUUUGGCUCUCCUUGAUUUUACUCUCGGUCGGAUCCAAAUCCAGCCAAAGCCGGAGAUGGGACGGACAGGGGUACCCCAGUCGUGGUCACGCGGCCUCCGCGUGGGGUGAAAAUACUAUUUGCCUAUGCUGGGGGAAGGAGCUGCCGUGAGAGAUGGUCCGGUCAACUCUCUCUCUCGCGCGAACAAGAAAAUUUGGGGAGACGAAGAAUAACCAGGGAUUUUAUAUUUUUGAAUUUGGGUAAUUACACUGACCUCCCCUGAGGUUAUAGUUAAUAUACAAGAAAACCUUAACAUUUAAAAACUAUAAUUAACCUCAUUCCCUCAAUUGAACCAAAAAAAAAAUAUUUUUAAUUAUAUAUUAAUAUUUAAAUUUCUUCUUAUUUGAUGUUGAAUUUUAUUUUUUAUUUUAUUUGAAUUCACUGAAAUCGGGUACUAAAAUAUCGUGUACCAAUUUUUUUGUGGAGUCGACUGAAUUUUUUUGGUAAAAUUUAAAUUAUUUUAAUACAUUUUCUUGGUUUAUAAUUUAUAAUUCUAAAUUAUAGAGAAAUACUAAGAUACCGAAUGGGGGUGCCACAAUUUGAAUUUCUGCUUAAUAUAUUAUUAUAUAAUUAAUUUAAAAUAAUUUAAUCAAAAUAAAAUUGAAUGAUCUAUCUUUUAAAUUGUAAUUUAUUUUAAUUUCUUUUCCGAGUGCUAUUUUGAGUGGUAGUUUUGUAAAUUUAGCACCCAUGAUUGCAUUCGAAGAAAUUCUAGAUUAAUCUGGCAAUAAUUGAAAGUUCGCUCACCUACCCCCCGCAAGCGGGCAGCGAGGGCUACUAAUUAAACGUUCGCUAGUCGCCGCACCGCGAGCGAAUUAAGUGAGUCUGUGGACAACGGAAUACACGUUUUCAACUUUGUUAUAAAAGAAAACAGACUUCUUUAACUUACAGCACCAUUUCUAAAAACAAAGUAAUGAUUUUGUCCUAAAGAACAUAUUACAUCAUCUAUUAAUAAUUGACAAAUAUGUCUAGCAUUCCUGAACUAAAAAUAAUAUUCUUUUAAAUGUAUUAUUUUAAGAAUAUUAUUGUCCUUGCAAAUUUUUUGCUUUAUAUCGAAAUUUGUGCAAAUUUAACAAAAAAAUUAGAAAGCUUAAUUUUACCACUUGUUUCUUUAUUAUUUUCCUAUAAAUUUAUUUAAAACUAAUUUUUUUUUCUUUUUUUUUCUUUUUAGGCUUCAUUUUACGAACACCCACUAACUUUAUUUUUUAUUAUUUUUUGAUUUAUCCCUUCAUCUAAAAAGUGAAUCAUAUUGACUCAUUUAACUAUUUAAUUAUAUCACUUAUACCCCUUCCAUUACUAAUCUGUUUUAAAAAGUAAUAAAAAUCAAUUACAUGUUGUCCAUGUAUUUAAAUUAAAUGCAUAUAUCUAAAAUACUAUUAUUUUUUUAUAAAAAAUAAUCAAACCAUAUACAUUUUAUCAGCCAUUAUGAGAACAAACUUAACUCUUAUUAAUAAGCAUUUAAAUAGAGCGUUGACUUAAUUUUUAUUAAAAAUAAAAAUAUUUAGGCAAAGCAUUUAAUUUAAGCAUAAAACAUGACAAUACACAAUCGAUUUUUAAUCAAUAUUUAAUCAGAUUAGUAAUAAAAGGGUAUAAUGAUGUAAUUAAAUAGUUAAGGGCCAAUAUGAUCACUUUUUAGAUGAAUGAUAAAUUGAUAAAAGACGAUAGUUUGGUGAUGUUUUAUGAAUUAAGCCUUCUUUUUUAUUUUAUUUCCUAGCAAAUCAAACGAAAAGAAACUACUACUUUUCUUUGGUUUGGUUGUUAUUUUUUAGUAUCACUUUUUUUAAUUUUCUUUAAAAAAUUUUAUUUGGUUACAGAUUUUAGAAGUUUUUUCUGGAAUUACGUCGGAAAAAAACAUAUUUGGAGAAAAAAAAAAUAAAGAUACAACUCGAUUACUAGAAAAUUUGUUUUUGUCUAGUUAGAAAAAUGAAUAAUCUAUGAAAUUGUUAAAAUAUUUUUAUGUUCAAAAACGUUUUUUUAAAAAAUUUAUAAAUCCCAAAUUAUUAUAAAAAAUUGAACCAAAUAUCUAUAAUUCUCUGUUUCUUUCUCUUUGCAUGAGUUCCAAACAAAGCCUACGGGUGGAUCGUUGACUGGGCCAGUGUUCGCAUAUUUAUGACCUCGUCCCACCAUCUCAGUUUAAUAAAGGAUAACUUCCUUCACACCCCUGAGGUUUUUCAAUAUUGCACUGACCUCCCUGUAGUUUUCAACAUGGCAAUGACCUCCCUGUAGAGCAAAAUGACCAUUAUGCCCCAGCCCCUAGCCCCCCCACCCCACCCCACCCCACCCCACCCACCCCACCCCCACCCCACCCCCGCAAUUUUUUUUUAUUUUUUUUAGUUUUUCUUUUAAUUAUUUUUAAUUUCUUUUUAAUCUAAGUUAUUUUUUUUAUCAGUGUUUUUUUUGGAUAAAUAUUUUUUUUAUUAUAUGUUGUUUUUUUUAGUUUUUUUAAUUAAUUAAUUUUAAUAAGAAAUAAAUUUAAAAUUAAAAUUAAAAUUAAUAGAGAAUACAAAUUUAAGUUUACAAUAACCUGAUCAUUAUAUUUAAAAUUGUAGCAGACUUUUUUAGUUGUAUAAUUACAUUAUAAAAUACUUAAAAAUUCAUUUAAUUAAAGGCCAAUGUGGACUACUUACUUUUUUAAAAAUUAAGUAUUUUAAUUUCUGAGUUUUUUUAAAUUUGUAGAUAAUCAUUUUAGUGGGCAAUUUUAGCGAAAUAUCUAAAAUUUAUCAAGUUUUCCGCAUCUAUUACGAACUUUUUGAUAUCUGAUUGUCAUAUUAUUUGAAAGUUCAAAUCUACUGACCAGAUUAGCCUCAUCACUUGGGCAUUAUCAAAUUGUUGAUGAAACGAAAAAAAAACUCAAAACGCAAAUAAUUAGAAUUUUUUUAAAAAAUAGGACAAAUUGACUUUAUUAUGAGUUUUAAGACAUUUUAUAUUUAUACAUACCACUAAAAAGUUUGUACAAUUUUUUAAUUAUAAUGAUCAGAUUAUUUGUGACUUAAUUUGUUUCUUUUUCUAUUUUUAUGUUAUUUAUUUUUAUUAAAAUUAUUAAUAAAAACCAAUAAAAAAACCAAACUAGAAUAAAAAAAUAUUUAUCCAAAAAAAUUGAUAACAAAAUAAAUUAGAUUAAAAAAGUAAUAAAAAUUUAAAAUAAAAACUAAAAAAAAAUAAAAUCAGGGGUGCGUGGGGUGGGGGUGGGGCUGGGUGGGCGGGGUCAGGGGCAUAAUGGUCAUUUUUUCUCGGUACAGGGGAGGUCAUUGCCAUUUUUGAACUACAGGGAUGUCAGUGCAAUUAUGGAAAACUCCGGGGUGUGAAUGAAAUUUAAUCCCUUUAAUACACCAGUGUGGUCCAGUGCCCAGGACUUUGUCGGCCAGUCCGAACGUGGCUCAAUCCCCAAUUUCCAUUUGCCAAACAUAUCUCAGAGUAGUCCCAAUUCGAUAGUUUUUUUUAAAUAAAUUUGUUAGCUAUUUUCGGUCUCAAUUUUUGUUCGUAGACCUCGUAGUGAACUUUUUCAGUUAUUUAAUUAAAUUUUUAAAUUUUUUAAUUUUUUCUCAACACGUUGAGCUUGAAAAAAAUAUAUAUUUUUUCAUUUAAAUACUAAAUGUUUUACUAAAAACAAAAACUUGUUUUUACUGAUAAUACAUAAAAUAAAAUUUAGGCUUAUUUUUUUUUUUUUAAUGAUUUUUUUUCCAAAAUUCUAACAAAAAUUUAACAUAAUUAGAUGCUUUGUCAGAGAAAUUGAAAAAUAUAUACAUACAACUUGAAAAUCAAUGCAGUGCUACAAACAAGAGUAUUAUUAGUGCUAAAACUAGGUUCUGUUUAUUAAUACUUCAAAACCAAGGUUUUUUUAACUUGCUAUCAAAAAAGCUAAUAUUUUUAAGGUUUUUGCUUUUGUAUUUUCACUAUAGCUACAACUAAGCAAUCAGCAAAAAUAGAAAAGCAAAAAGCCAACUCUGAUUUACUUUUUUCUUAUUUUCGGCAAAAAAGUCUAAAAAACUGAAAAACUGGUGCCAAACCAGAGCCUAAGUCAAAAUUGGGUCUAUUUUUGUACUACCCUGUCUCAAUUGUAAAUUCAAUUUUCCUAAAAUUCCUACGAAAACUAACAAUAUUCUGGAGUCCUACAUUUUUUAUCAUUUGUCAUUUUGAGCUGAUAAUUACUCCUUUUUUUUUUGUUUCGUUCAUCUUUUAAUUACCUUUUUAUAUGGAUUACAAAUCAUUGGAGAAAAUUGUUACAAAUACUCUCUUAUAACUUUUAAAACUGAAAAAAAAUUAAACUUAAAAAAUUACGACAAACAUUCUUAUACUGUGGAGUGAGACACAAACUUUUACUGAAAAAAAAUGCUAAGCCCUGCCAAAUGACCGGGGAUAGUUAGCAUGACCCUUCACUAUCCUAUAUCAGCUCAAUAAUGAAUUGCUAGUCCGGACCAUUGAAUAACUUUUAGGUCUUUGAACCGUUAGAAAAGCAAGCCAACCCAAACACAGGUGAACAUGACAAUGAUUUGAUGCAAAAACUGUGUUUUGAUGCCAAAAUACGAUGGCCGGGAUUUUUUUUACCCAUUUUCCAAAGUGUUGAUAUGUGUGCGACCUAAGGCCAAUGGCAGUCAGUGCCCACAAGAGGAUGGGGGUGGGUUUGUUCUUACUAAGUGAGCAUGGAGGGUUUGGUUGUGAGAAUGGAGGAUGGUGAUGGUGAUGCUACUUUGGCUACAACAGCAAACACCACAAAGCGUACAAACAAACCACACAGCAUAUCCUCAAGGAUAAUGCCAUGUCAAAUGCGGAUUGAAAAAAAACAGAAGGAGAAUUUCCAACUUUGUGAGUGUGCCACCAUGUUUUGUAAUGGACAAGUCUCUCUCUCUCUCUCUCUCUAUAUAUAUAUAUAUAUAUCAAUAUAUAUUUGAGUUAGAUCUAAAAUCUAGAUUAAAAGUGGGUGGUUAUGGGAGCUUAUAAUCUAGUUUGAAUCAUUAUUUUGUAAAUUAUGUUGAGAAUAGUAUGUAUAAAAAGAUAAGAUAAUAGAUAUCAAUAGUAACAUAAUCAAAUUAAUAUUAUCUUUAAAAAAGUGGAAUAAUAUUUCCUAAAAAAUCGUAUUUUCAGGAUAAAAAAGAUGAAACCAUAUUCAAAUUAACCAGAAUUUGAAUAAAUAGUAUUUUAAGAUUCUACAAAAUGAAUGGUUCAGAUCAUGACCUAUUCUAGAGAUUAUACAGACGAUUGUUAAUGCACAUGAGAAAAAUAAAUAUUUAUAAAAUUAAAUAUUGUAAUAUGUAAUUGAAUUGAUAUGAUUGAUAUAUUUUUCACUUUCAUGCUUGAAAUUUCUCCUUAUUAUCACACCUGUUAAUUGACAAAAAAAAAAUGAUGUAUUAUACAUGAAAUAUUUAAAUUGUUGUGAAUUAGAGAUUGUUUCCUAAUUUGAGUAGGAAGUUGUGGAAUUGUUUUUUAGGAGAUUCUUUCCUAAUUGAUUAUGAAACGCCAUAAAUUUAUUUCCUUUGACAUUUUUUUAUUUAUUUUUCCUACUUAGAUAUUAUGUUGUAUUAUAUAUUGUGUAGGUUUUAAUACAAUUGAAGCUUUUCUUAUUUUGAUUGGUAUCAGAGCAUUUAAUCGAAUACAACCAGUGUAAUCGCGCACACACCUUGCCCAGCCAGCGCAGUUAGCCACCGUCGGUAAAACACUCACGCAACCCCACUCAGCGUAGUUGAACACACUACCAUCACGUAACCACCACUAGUGCCAUUCCAUACCCAGCGCAGUGCAACCAGCGCAUCCAGCCACUCCAGCGAAGUGCAGUCCAGAUACCCUCACAAAACAACACCACGUCUAAGCAGCCAGGCCCACCCCCCUGUGAGCCACCACAUCCAGCCAGUCCAGGCCGCCUCUAUCUGCCAGCCUAUUCUAUACAGCUCUGAGUCUCUUGUUGGCUUGUCGCUGUCUUGUGUUGGUGUUUCUUGAGGGACUUUGUGGAAUUUUCCCCACACUCGCGAAAUUGAAGUUUCUUCCUUGGAUCCUGUUCUUCUAUGAUUGAUGGUUUUAUCCUAGCGAAUAUUGUUUCUGAGUCUAGUUCAUGUUUUCAGAUUUGAUCAAUUAAAACCUAGCUCAAGAGUCACGAGCAUGUUGUUGAUGGAAAGAACUUUCAUGCUUGAUCUUGCUCUUUUCAACUCUACCUUAAUGUAAAGUGUUUAAGACCAGCUCGAUUCUGGAAAAGAACAGAAAGCUGGCUGAAUCCGAUCCAAGUUUGAUGAGUGAAAGGAGGAUAAAUGUAUCAUUUUGGACUGGGUUGUUUACUCUAUGGAGGAUAGAGGUGUCCAUAUGUUAUGUAUCAUGAUACCGGUAUAUGGUUAUGGAUUGCUUUGAAUAGAUGUAUGGUCAGCCUAUAAGGAGCCCUGAUCUUUGAAACUCUUUAUCUUAAAAACCUACCUUAGGGGGGGGGAACUUUCCGUUUGUUGAUAUUUUGGAUAUCUCCAGACUAGAUGGGAAGAAUUGACUCAGUACAAUCCCUUAGUGAUUUUCCUAGUGAUAAGGUUGUUGAGUCAAACAUAUGAUCGUCAACAUACAUUUCAGUGUUUUGAGGGUUUUUUAAAACCUGAGUUUGAGUCUCUUGAACUCAAAGGUAAUACAUCACUUUUUCCAUUCAGAUUACAAGGGUGUUUGAUAAUAUUGAUGGUGAUAAGCGGAGGUGCGCCUUCCUACCAUCAUUUCUCUACUGGAUACUCUUCUACUAUUUAAGAUUCCAAACAUCCUUGGUUGCUUCUUUUGGGACGCGCCCACAUUGUCAGCAUUUCGCAGGCCCAAUUCCUUUUGAUUGCUGUUUUGAUCUACAUCUUGAGUUGAAAUCACAGUUAAAUAGGAAUUAAGGUAGAAUUGGCGGGGUGGUUUACGGUGGUGGGUAGUGGCUGUGGAAUUCCUCGAGUUGGUUCUAUUGCAGAAGUAGAACAAUUGCAUCUGAGUUACUUGAUCUCAAUCAACUUUAGAGCCAAAUUGCUCAACUAUAGUCGAACUUGGGCUUGGCUCUCUCCUCUGGUCCCAUGGCCGUUAUAGCUGUAGGGACUCUUACCGCUCUUCAUGGUAAGUUAGGUCACUCCACUUGAAUUCUAGAUUUUGGGGCUAAUAAUCACAUGACUGGUGAACUUUUUAUCUUUACCUCUCCUGUUACUUCUGUGAAUAGUAUGUUUGAUGUUGAUGGAUUCCUCUUUCCAGUAUAAUCAGGUAUGUUUGCUGUCCUAAGAUAUUAGUUGUCUUGCAAAAACACCUUAAUUGUGAUGUUAUCUUCUACCAUCUCAUGUUUCUUGCAGGACCUAACUCGAAGAAGAUUUUUGGCAAGGGGUAGUCUCAUGAGCGUGAUGAACUAUAUUACUUUGGGGAUCCGUCCAAUAUCUAAUGCUUUGUCUUUAGUCUUCAAGUAGUCGUUCUACCACUCUUAGAGCCUCUGUUUUAAGUCGUCUAUUUAAACUUGUGUGUUUUUAUUUAACACUUAAAUCGAUGGCAUGCUUAUUUAGGGCAUGCCAAAUUUUUAGUAUUUGUUGCUUUUCCCAUCUGAAUCAAAGCAGCAAGAAAGUUAUUUUAAAUGGUCAUUUGUGAAUGUCUAAAACAUUACUCGCACCUUUUUUAUUUCCUCGAUGCGCAAUCGCUGCACCUAGUGCCUUGACCCUUAUUCGAUCAGAGAUGUCUAGGGACCGGUCUUCAGUUAAUGAUAUCUCUCAACAUCGUCAUUAUGUCACGUUUAUAGGUAACUACACCGUUGAUAUGGGUAUACCUGAUGCACCAUAAAUUUGAGGUCAUCUCCCACUUACCCACUUUCUAUAAAUGAUCAAAACUCAAUAUAAUACAUUUGUGCUCACUAUUCGGUCAAAUAAUGGUCGUGAGUAUAUCACGAAUGAGUUUUGGACUAAACUUAAUAAACAUGAUAUACUUCAAUAACACACUUAUCCUUACACCCCUAAGUAGAAUGGAUUUUUGGAGUAAAAAAAUAUGUCAAUUGAUGUCUAUUGGCUAGUGUUUCUUAAGAGGAUUGUGUGGUUUCUUAAUAUUUCUUUUAUAAGGUUUGUCCUCACUUCCACAUUCAUUAUUAAUCGCGACUCCUAGUCCUUCUAACGUCAAGGCACCACUCAAUAUCUUCAGCUUGCUAGUACCCCGUUAUUUUCUUUAUUCUCCCUCGUGUCUUUGGAUGUACAUUCUUUAAUUAGUUAAGAGCCCUUUUGUAACCAAACUGAUGAUAAAUGCUGCUUGUUGUGUUUUUCUUCUUGGUUAUCCCCUUCCUCGAUAUUCAAGAGGUAUCGGUGUUUAUGACUAUACUUGUCAUAUGUAGCACUCUUUGGAUGCCAUUUGUUUUGAACUGUUCAAAAAAGACAUUUUUCUCAAGUCUUCUGUCCUUUUUGGGCCCCUUCUUCUGACUAUUUGUGGAGGAGAUUCUAUACCUCCCUACCCACUUCCUCCUAUCUUGAGUCUCCUCCCUAUCACCUGUGGCUCUAUGCUCUAUUGUAACUAUCGAUAUCCAAGAUGUAUCGGUGUUAUGUGAUCCUUCACUCUGCAAUGUAUCACUCGUUAGAUGCCA
rnacentral:lncRNA from 1 species